ACACUUGGGUUCAUCUUCAUGAGGUGUAAUGGCGCCGGGAUGCGCUCUCCUCUUCUCAUUUGCCAAUUUAUUGCAGAUCCCUCCUCAAAAAAGUUUUGGGACUAACUCAGCCCCAUGGAGAUCAAGGUGAAUUAGAAAAACAACAAAACAAAACAAGAUUCAUUUUAACAUCUCAUUUUUCUAUCUCCAACUUUCCCUCCCCUCCUCCCACCCCAGGAAGAAAAGACUACGUUUGUUUCUGGUGAUACAUUCAUUGUAGGUGGGUGGGUGACUUCUAGAAGAGGAAAAUCAAGAAGAUUUGGAGAAGGAGUCUUGGAAGCUCUGGUGAAGUUUUCCAAAACUGGGAAGGACAGAGCCACAGGUCUGCCUGUUCUUUUGCUUUGCCAUUUGUGUGGAUACCUAGUAGAGCAAUUUGGGUGCCAUUCUUUGAGGAAUCCAUUGGAUCUGUCAGAAAGCUGAGGUAGAGACAGUUGGUGUUAGGGUUAAGUACCAGGACUGGAGAUAUGUUCCUGAGUGUCUCUGUCUGAAUCCAUCUGUUUACAACAUAUGAGGCCAAUUUUCUAAGAAGACUGAGCUGCCCUGCCAAGACUGUUUACCAGAGGUGGCUUUUAGUCUGCUCAGCCUGUGUUAGUGGAGAAGAGGGAAGGAAACUGGCUGGAGGCCGCUGGACCCACAGAGGACAAUAGACAAUCUCCUGCUGAUGCCCACUGGAUCCAAAGAGAGAAACUCUAUAGAAUUAUGAUCUAGGUUUGACUGACUCCUGGCAAGAAGCCCUACCCGCCAGCCAAUUUGGAUGAGCUCUUAUGCUCCAGAUCCAUCAUGAGAAGAACAUGCCCUGGAUUCCUGCUAUCCCUUUAGCCAUGGCUCCAAAAUUAACACACACAAGGAAGACCUGAGGUCAAUCCACAGCCUGGAUUCAAGUCACCUAAUACAUAGGAGAAUCAGAGCUACCCAGCCACACUCAAUCUACGUUAACUGAACCUCAGCUGACCUGCAGAUUUAUGAGUAUGAGAAUAAAGGCUUGUUAAUGUA
ensembl:lncRNA LINC01980 long intergenic non-protein coding RNA 1980